rnacentral:rRNA from 1 species
AGUGAACGCUGGCGGUAGGCCUAACACAUGCAAGUCGAACGGCAGCACAGUAAGAGCUUGCUCUUACGGGUGGCGAGUGGCGGACGGGUGAGGAAUACAUCGGAAUCUACUUUUUCGUGGGGGAUAACGUAGGGAAACUUACGCUAAUACCGCGUACGACCUACGGGUGAAAGCAGGGGAUCUUCGGACCUUGCGCGAUUGAAUGAGCCGAUGUCGGAUUAGCUAGUUGGCGGGGUAAAGGCCCACCAAGGCGACGAUCCGUAGCUGGUCUGAGAGGAUGAUCGGCCACACUGGAACUGAGACACGGUCCAGACUCCUACGGGAGGCAGCAGUGGGGAAUAUUGGACAAUGGGCGCAAGCCUGAUCCAGCCAUACCGCGUGGGUGAAGAAGGCCUUCGGGUUGUAAAGCCCUUUUGUUGGGAAAGAAAAGCAGCAGGUUAAUACCCCGCUGUUCUGACGGUACCCAAAGAAUAAGCACCGGCUAACUUCGUG